rnacentral:rRNA from 1 species
CCCUUAGAUGUUCUGGGCCGCACGCGUGCUACACUGAUGCAUUCAACGAGUCUAAAGCCUGGUCUGAUAGGGCUGGGUAAUCUUUUGAAAGUGCAUCGUGAUUGGGAUAGAUGAUUGCAAUUCUUCAUCUUCAACGAGGAAUGCCUAGUAAACGCAAGUCAUCAGCUUGCAUUGAUUACGUCCCUGCCCUUUGUACACACCGCCCGUCGCUCCUACCGAUUGAAUGAUCCGAUGAAUACCAUGGAUUGAGAGUACGAAUAGGUUCGCUUAUUUCUGCUGCUCGAGAAGUGGAGUAAAUCUUAUCAUUUAGAGGAAGGAGAAGUCGUAACA